rnacentral:rRNA from 1 species
GACGAACGCUGGCGGCGUGCCUAAUACAUGCAAGUAGAACGCUGAAGGAGGAGCUUGCUCUUCUGGAUGAGUUGCGAACGGGUGAGUAACGCGUAGGUAACCUGCCUGGUAGCGGGGGAUAACUAUUGGAAACGAUAGCUAAUACCGCAUAACAGUAGAUGUUGCAUGACAUUUACUUAAAAGGUGCAAUUGUAUCACUACCAGAUGGACCUGCGUUGUAUUAGCUAGUUGGUGGGGUAACGGCUCACCAAGGCGACGAUACAUAGCCGACCUGAGAGGGUGAUCGGCCACACUGGGACUGAGACACGGCCCAGACUCCUACGGGAGGCAGCAGUAGGGAAUUUUCGGCAAUGGACGGAAGUCUGACCGAGCAACGCCGCGUGAGUGAAGAAGGUUUUCGGAUCGUAAAGCUCUGUUGUAAGAGAAGAACGAGUGUGAGAGUGGAAAGUUCACACUGUGACGGUAUCUUACCAGAAAGGGACGGCUAACUACGUG